AUCACUUAAUCUUGCAUUAGUUAUUAGCUCAUCAAUGAAUCUCAAUUAAAUCUCUAGGCAUACAUGUUGUAAGCCACAUCACAAGAGAUAAUAACAUACAUGCAUAAGAAUAAUCAUAUGGGCCCAUAACGUCAUUAGCCGACAUAGGCCGAUUUACAUGACUAACACUACCUUAAUAACAAGCCAAUACCUUUGGCUAAAUCAUAAUAUUACAAUACUACCUUAAUAACAAGCCAAUGCCUUUGGCUAAAUCAUAAUACUACAUACUCACAUUAAAACCCUAUACAUGCCAUAGACUCGAAUCACUUGAGUUUACUUACGCCGAUAGCGUUAACUCGACAGGGCGAUAAUAUCUCUGACGGCCUCCAACCCGAGCUAAUCUGGCAACUCUAGAAAACAUGGGAAAGAAGAGGGGGUAAGCUUUCGCUUAGUAAGUUCAUAUGAAAACAAUAAGCAACUCAUUAACUUGUUUUAUCAAUGUUUACAACAUAUUCUCAAGUUCACUACAAGCUAUCUUCCUGAGCAACAGUCACUAAAUUAUUUAUCUCUAGAGCUACGAAACUCCGAAUUAAGUUCUGUAAAUUUUUCCUGAAACUAGACUCAUUUAUCUUUCUUCCAUAAAAUUUCCAGAAUUUUUGGCUUAGCCAAUUAGUACAGUUUAUUCCUCAAGUUUUCUCCUAAUUCACUAUCUGACAGUUUCAACCCUUCUACACUAAAGUUCAAUUAUCUCAUAGUACAAGGCUAGAAUAAUGUUAUCGUCUAUUUCUAUUGAAACUAGACUCAUAUGUAUACUUACUAAUGUUUUUAUAGAAUUUUUUGUUGGGCCAUUUAGUAUAGUUUAUUAGUUAAAGUCUCCCCUAUUUCAGGGUAUGACUACUCUGACCCCUGUGUACUACAAACCGAAUUUCUCCCUGUACAGAAUUCCAACAACCAUGAAAUUUGUUUCCCUUAAAAAUAGACUCAAUAAGGAAUCCAUGAAUGUAAGGUAUGACUCUUAAUAAUUUUUGUAAAAUUUAUGGUGAAUUUAUAAAGUCAGAAUAGGGGAUCUCGAAUUCUUUCAGACCCUGUUUCACAAGAAUUCAAAUAUCACACAAUAUAGAAUUCUUUUUCUUCCUAUGUUUCUUUCAUGUGAAAAUAGACUCAUUAAGCUUUAAUUCCAUAUUUUAUUCUGCCUCUAACUCAUUUUCCAUUAUUUUUAGUGUAUUUUCAAAGUUACACUACUGCAGUAACUCAAAUCUGUCAAGGCUAAGUUACUCAUUCAUUAUCAUUGUUCACAAAAUUAAUACAACAUCAUUUCAUCCAUCAUGGUAAGAACACAUAUUAUGCAUCAUAGAUCAUCACAUAUCAAGGCAUUCUCAUAGGCUUAGUAUACAUACUUGCACAACUUGUAACAUAACUCAAGUGCAUACUCACCAAUGACUUACCUCAUUGGGACUAUCAUCAACUCUUUCCUUGGAUUACCCGUUGAACACUUGGAAUACUAAUUGGAUACUCGGAAAAGCCUUUGCACAUAAGUGCCUUAAUUGUAGCUAAAGCUACCUCAUAUCUCAUAACAUUUCAAUGCUCACUCUCGAGCUAGUCAUCUAGACUCAUAAUUCCUAGCGACAUGUCACUCGUAUCCUAUUCUAUUCCUAAGCUUCAAACGGGAUUUUUCCUCGUCUAUUAAGGCUUUGUCUUAUCAUAUUUCUAUUAAUCACAUACACAUUAAUAUUUGUACAAUUCAUGUAAUGAUAACAUUUAAAUACAUGUAUAGCAUGGUAUUGUUUACAUACAAACUUACCUCGAUACCACAAAGGUGAAAAGACAUACUCGUCCAUAAAUCGAUUUCUUUCUCUUCUAGAUCCAAAUCUCAAUUUUCAUCAUCUAUAACAUCACAUUUAACUUAUUAAAACAAUGUACUGAUCAAAUUAGUCCAUUGACACACUUGGGCAAUUUUUACAAUUUUGUCUCUAUAUUUUGCCAAAAUUACCAAAUUACCCCUAGGCUCGUAAAAUAAUUUUUAUCACAUUCCUUUACUCCUUAAGUCUAGAUGAACCAUUUUCAUAACUGUAGCAACUCAUAAUUUCAACUAUUUCACACACUUACAACUCAUUUUACAACUUAGCAAUCUAGCCCUUUUUAAGGUGUUUUCAUACAAUUUCUUUCACAAAAGUUAUUUAUUAGACAACUAGGACUCAUAAUCUUCCAAAAAAACACAGCAAACAACACAUUUGCUCUGAUGGCAAAACCCUAGACUCUUCAUCAUUUUGCAAAAUAGACUCCUAAUAUGAAAGCUCAUGCUUUAGGGGUUCCAAAAAUGUAAAAAUCAUCAAGAAAAAAAGCAUUAAAAUCACUUACUAUAAAGGGGGUUUCUUUGCUGAAAGUUUUCAGCUUCUAAACCCUUUUUUGCUGCCAUUUUUUCG
rnacentral:lncRNA from 1 species